AUGUACACUUGGUAUUCGGCAACACAGUCAAGGGGAUACAAAUUAAGUUUUCAAAGCAAGAUAAACAUUGUGCACUGAAUAUACUUUAACACAGUUGUCAUCUGUGAAUUAGCAGACACUGACGACUCGGUAAGGACAUUAAUUCCAACCUCUUUAUACUGGCAGUAACAGAAGAAAACGACAACACUCUUAAUAGUGUUGAUAAUAAACUCUGGGACAUCCACAGCUUCUCUGGCAGCCAGUGCCAGUGCCUCACCACCAUGUGAGUAAAGAAUUUCUUCCUAAUUAUCCCAGAAAAGAUAUUUCAAACAGUUGUGUUUUGGUGUUUGUUGGGUUUGUUUGUUUAAUAGAUUUGUUUGUUUCUAGAGAAGGAGGACGAAACACAGAAGAGAAAAACUUCAUUCCUCACAAAGAAUCCUCUACAACUUAGGGUGUCUGUCAUAACAGAUAUUCUUAAAUCAAAACAACCUAGAGUUCCACAGUUCAAACUAAAAUAACAGCACUUUAUCCAUCAACUAAACAGACAAAUGCCACUACUGUCUGCUAUUAGUAAGGCCGAAUCUUCCUAACGAGAGCCACCUCUUGCCAAAGUCCUUCUUUGAAGAUCAUGAGGCCCUUAACAAACAAGACUCAUGCUUUGAUGCUUCCUGAUGUCAACUAUCAUAUCUCAACCCACUCAUGGUAAGAUUUUAAUUAAAGAGUCCUUUCAUUAUCAAGUCAGAAACCUGGAGUCACAGAAAUUACCAUCUCAGUGAAAGACAAACACCUUUAUUUUGGAAAAAUGUUGACUGUGUCUAACACAGCACAUACGGAUGCAUUAAACCAGGAGUCUUUAGCCUACCAAUAGCAAAAGCUACAACGUAUGGAAACAUUGCAAACGAGUAAUGAUGAACAUGUAAAAUCAAUACAUAAAGCCACUCCCAAGCUCCAUAUAAGAAAAUGCUACAUUUUAUCUAGUUUUUGUAAAUUUAGCAGUCCUGCAGAUUUGAUGUGUGAAACAUAUCCCAUAAGAUGCACUAAGUACACAUAGUAUAAAUUAGGACUAAACACACAAUUUUGCAAGUGCACAGUGGGCAACAUUUCUGAUGACAGGAGAGCACUUAAAGUAGUCAUAGUCUUAAUUACAGCAAUAUGAAAGAUUAUAAAAAAUAUCUGCAAUAUAUUAUGUUUUCCAGUUAAUCUCAUGCAUUUACAGAACUAUACAUAUAGCCAGUUAGGUAGAUGAUGUUUUAAAAUAGAGAAAGGGGAUGCAUUUCAAUUUAAGAUACCAUGCGCAUUGGCAAGGGACUCAGGAGUAGAAGCAGUUCCUGGCAUUAUAAAAACAGACUUUUCAAGACAGCUUCUCUUUAAUUUGCUUCCUUCUGGAUAGAUUUCCGAAGGUUUUGAUGUUUGGGGAUGGAUGUUGUUCUCAUUUUGGUUUUUGCUAUUCCAAGCCUGGUAGUACAGUGCUGGAUGGAAUUAACCUCAGUUUAAUAUUCUAAAGCAAAGUAUCUAACCUGAGCUAAAUCACAGCUCCCAGAGCCUCCUCAGGGAGGC
ensembl:lncRNA